rnacentral:rRNA from 1 species
UACCCGCAGCACAAGUGGUGGUCAUUAUUAUUGGGCCUAAAGCGUCCGUAGCUGGCUUGUUAGAUGCCUGGGUAAAUCGAUGCGCUCAACGCAUCGAACUCCGGGUAGACCGGCAAGCUUGGGACCGGGAGAGGCGUGAGCUACUCGAGGGGUAGGGAUAAAAUCCUGUAAUCCUUCGGGGAGGACCAGUGGCGAAGGCGUCACGCUAGAACGGCUCCGACAGUGAGGGACGAAGCCCUGGGGCGCAAACCGG